CGAGUUGUAACCUAAACCUAACUCCUGCUCCCUUCCUCCCAUCUUCUCUCCCUCACCCGCCGCCAGGCCUCCCCCUUCACCCAGAUCCGCUCGCUCGAUUACCCUCCAUCUUCCACCGCGCUAUUCAUUCCACCCUUUUCCCCUCCUCAGAUCCGAGCCCUCUCUCUCAUCCGCCAGGCCUCGACGCCGCUGGAUCUGCCGUCCUGCGCAUCUCCGGCGAGCGUCGCCCACUCGUCCAAGUCGGAGGCGUCUCCGUCGAGCGGAGCGCACACAUGAGAGGUGGCGGCUUCUGCGACGAGCGGCGCGCACAAGUGCGAGACGUCGGCUUCUCCGGCAGGGCGCUCGUACUCGUUGGAGACGGCGGCGUCUCCGCCGAGCGGUACACCCACAUCUAAGACGGUGUAGCAAACUGGGUCGACGCCACUGCCUCCAUCCUCGCCCGCCAGCGCCCGCUUCUGGAGGUCGACAUCGUCAACUUCUGCAAGGCGGAUGAUAUAGAAGCCUUAGUUGAUAUAGUCGAACACAAGUUCUGGAUGCUGUCGUCGAAGAUUUAGAUUGAAGACUUGCCUUGCGCUCUGUUGCUGCUAGAAAUAUGUUCUGGUGUGAUGUAAGAGGAAUGAAUUUGUGCGUUCAUCUGAAAAUCUGGUCGUAUUAUUUUGUCACUGGAGAGUUGGCUCUUAGCAAUUUUUAGCUGAACA